CCUACGGGAGGCAGCAGCAGGGAAUAUUGGACAAUGGGCGAAAGCCUGAUCCAGCGACACCGCGUGAGGGAAGAAGGCCUUCGGGUUGUAAACCUCUUUUUCUGGAAGAAAUUUGACGGUACCAGAGGAA
rnacentral:rRNA from 1 species